rnacentral:rRNA from 1 species
UGAGUAAUGUAUAGCUAACCUGCCCUUUAGUGGGGACAACAGUUGAAACGACUGCUAAGUACCCCAUAUUCCUUCUUAUCAUAAGGUAAGUUGGGAAAGAUUUAUUGCUAAAGGAUGGGGCUUUAUGGUAUCAGCUAGUUGGUGGGUAACGGCCUACCAAGGCUAUGACGCCUACCUGGUCUGANAGGAUGAUCAGGCACACUGGAACUGAGACACGGUCCAGACUCCUACGGGAGGCAGCAGUGGGGAAUAUUGCACAAUGGAGGAAACUCUGAUGCAGCAACGCCGCGUGGAGGAUGACGCAUUUCGGUGUGUAAACUCCUUUUAUAAGGGAAGAUAAUGACGGUACCUUAUGAAUAAGCACCGGCUAACUCCGUG